AAAUUCCACGAAGAUAAAAUGUGUGUAGAGAGACCUUUGCCCAGAGGUGGCCCACUGGAAGACCUGAGGGUCUUUGGGGGAACUAAGGCAAUAGGGUGAGGUAAAAGGCAGAGUGUUUGGUGGAUAAAGGCCCCACCAAAAUAAGCAGAAGGCGGGUAGAGCCUGGGAAAGGGUGGUAGGUGUGUGGGGAGAGGGGCUUAUUUACAAAGCUACAAAACCUGCACACAGGAGCACGUGAGUAUUCUUUGGAAAGAGAGAGGAAGCUAGAAGAGGGUUGAAAUGGAAUUAGAAAGAAAUGCCCUUGUUAACAACACAAAGAAAUUCAAGAGUCCCACUUUGGUAGGAUCUCAAGACAGCAGGGCAGCUUCCGGGUCAGGAGGGAAGUCAGUUUUAGAAAGUGUGUUCCAAAGAGACGUCAGCCUGAUUGGAUUCUCUCUUCCAGAAUCUAGGAACUGCCUUCCGGGAAGCCUUGUUUUCCAUGCCCGGAAAAUUAGGGUUCCAGCAGGGGGCAGCAGCGAGUUGUGGAGAACUGGCAGCUGGGGAAAGCAAGGUGCCUCUGGAGCUGAGCUCCCUAGCUGGAAGCUGGAGCAGCAGGGCCAGCUGGCUUGCCCACCCUAACUCCCUCUCAGCUGCUUCUACCAUGGAUCUUUCUCUAAUGUGAAACUUUAGAGCUUGCCAAGACCCUCCUGUGUUCCUUGCCUUUGGGGCCCCCUUUACCUGAAAGUUGGGGAGAGUGGGGUGCUGCUUCAUGUCCAAGGCUUGAUUUCUUAUAGUUACUGACCAGGUUUUCUCCUAAGGACACAUUUGUUCCCCCUUUAAUGGCUGAUCAGGAGCAGGCAACACCUCCCCCAAUUGAUAGCUACAGGCUACUUCCUUCUCCUCACCUACAUGUAUUCCCUGCUUCUUAGAAUUGUAGCUCAUUGAUAUUUUGGGGUGGGGAGGGGAUGAAAACCACAAACCUUUUAUACCAUACAAAGCUUUGCUUUUUAUUUUUUAUUUUUAAUUUUUUUUUCUUGGUCCCCUUCCCUCCUCUGAAUGCUUGGAGACGGAGAAGCUGAGGAGGGUGGGUAAGUGUUGGAUGAGGUCCUCUGUGCUGAUGGGCUAAUGUUGUGGGCAGAUGCAGUUUCCUGUGGGCUCUAGGGGAGUCCCUUGAGUUGCUGUGUUCUGGUGAGCAGCCGGACCAAUAAACCUGCUUUUCU
rnacentral:lncRNA from 1 species